UCAGUAUCAGCACCCAUCCUGUUCAGGGGAGUGGCUGUUUUGGUUCAGUUGCCCUGUGUGUCAUGUGUCUGAGAGUCAGCAAGGUGGCACCUCUGGAGAUGCUGCUUAAAACUGCCACCCAGCUCAAGGCCAGUUCUUCUCAUGGGGCAGAGUUAGAGGCUGAUGACUACAAUAAGUGGCACCAAGAUAAAGGGACAGUCUGAAGGCGACCAUCCUGACUGCUUUAAGGCGAAGAAAUGCAGGAAUCAGAGCUGGGAGGGCCUGGCCAACGAGGGGCACCCAGGCAGUCCGCAAAGGCCAGGCUCCCGGGAGAAGCUAGCAGCGAUCCUAUUUCAGUGAAGUGCAAUUCUCUUUUCAGCAGGUAAUUUGGAGAAACAGAAAACUAUAAACAGAAGAAAAAAAUUGAGAUAAUCACUAUUAAAGCUUCCUUUUAUGCUCUCUUUUUGGAUAAAUAAAUCUAUAGAAUUAUUCCAUCUAAAGAUGGGUGCCCUCAGGAUGUGGACGUCUAAAUGAUGGGCCCAACUCUAUGCAAGAGCCACAGCAGAGCCACAAAUCCCCCACUGGUCCAUGGAUGACCAGCCUGCCUUGCCAGCAUUCCCGUGCAGAGGUUGGAAUGAGGUAACCUCUCAGAAUGCCCUUUGUAAACCAUAAAAUAUUGUAUGUCUAUGCAAGUGAUUACUAUGACUUAUAAAGCUUAGUUACAGCAAAUUUGAAAUGAAAAACUCAAAUGGCCAGGCUCUAGAAGGCUAACUGUUCAUAUUCAUUUUUCCUCAUGGGACAAUAAGGAUCUCGAACAUGCAUUGAGUUCUGCUCUGUGAUC